rfam:Trichinella zimbabwensis scaffold770s, whole genome shotgun sequence.
UUUAAGUGAAAAGGCUUAAAUACUUUAAGGGGACGAUAAGACCCUAUAAAACUUGACAAUAAAUUAGUUAAAUUAUAAAUUGUUAGUAUAACUUGAUCUUAAUUAAUGUUUGUUGCGUUGGGGCGACGGGAAUAUAAUUAGUAACUGUUCUUAAAUACUUAUUAACAAGUAUAAUUGAAAAAUAAUUGAUCCUUUAUUAAAGAUUAAAAGAUUAAGUUACUUUAGGGAUAACAGCGUAAUCUUCUUUGAGAGUCCUCAUCGACAAGAAGGUUUGCGACCUCGAUGUUGAAUUAAGGUAUCCUUAUAAUGCAGCAGUUAUAAAGGAAGGUCUGUUCGACCUUUAAAUCCUUACAUGAUUUGAGUUCAGACCGGCGUGAGU